AUUGAACGCUGGCGGCAGGCCUAACACAUGCAAGUCGAGCGAGCGGCGGACGGGUGAGUAAUGUAUGGGAAACUGCCCGAUAGAGGGGGAUAACUACUGGAAACGGUGGCUAAUACCGCAUACCAUCGGAUGUACCCAGAUGGGAUUAGCUAGUAGGUGGGGUAAAGGCUCACCUAGGCGACGAUCCCUAGCUGGUCUGAGAGGAUGACCAGCCACACUGGGACUGAGACACGGCCCAGACUCCGACGGGAGGCAGCAGUGGGGAAUAUUGCACAAUGGGCGCAAGCCUGAUGCAGCCAUGCCGCGUGUAUGAAGAAGGCCUUCGGGUUGUAAAGUACUUUCAGCGGGGAGGCGUUACUCGCAGAAGAAGCACCGGCUAACUCCGUGCCAGCAGCCGCGGUAAUAC
rnacentral:rRNA from 1 species